GGAGAGGUGGCAGAGUGGUUGAAUGCACCGCACUCGAAAUGCGGCAUAGGCGCAAGUCUAUCGGGGGUUCGAAUCCCUCCCUCUCCGCCA
rnacentral:tRNA from 6 species